ensembl:snRNA U6 U6 spliceosomal RNA
GCUGCCUCGUACUUGCAUGUACUGAAACGGGAACGACACAGAGAAGAUUAGGGUGGCCCCUGGGCAAGGAUGACACACAAAUUCGAGAAGUGUUCCAUAUGAAA